CUCUACUGGUUUCAGUGGUGAUGGCACCACUUUUAAAAGUAUUCCAAAGUUUUAAAAGUGGUGCCAUCACCAUUGUGCCAGUAUCUAU